rnacentral:rRNA from 1 species
AAUCUUCCGCAAUGGACGAAAGUCUGACGGAGCAACGCCGCGUGCGCGACGAAGGUCUUCGGAUCGUAACACUCCGUUGUUAGGGAAGAACAAGUACCGUUCGAACACGGCGGUACCUUGACGGUACCUAACCAGAAGCCCACGGUCAACGACCUGCCCGCCGCCGCGGUAAUACGUAGGUGGCAAGCGUUAUCCGGAAUAACUGGGCGUAAAGCGCGCGCAGGCGGUUUCUUAAGUCUGAUGUGAAAGCCCACGGCUCAACCGGGGAGGGUCAUUGGAAACUGGGAAGCUUGAGUGCAGAAGAGGAGAGUGGAAUUCCAUGUGUAGCGGUGAAAUGCGUAGAGAUAUGGAGAAACACCAGUGGCGAAGGCGACUCUCUGGUCUGCAACUGACGCUGAGGCGCGAAAGCGUGGGGAGCGAACA